AUGUUAGUGGCGUCAGUUGGCCGGUCAGCCAAGCCUAUCCACAUCAUACAAGAGCUAGGAAGCUGCGUAUCAGUGAGUCUAGCUCGAGACCGAAACCAUUACUUUCCAUCCAUCCACCAUAAUGGCGGUGGCGUCGACUCUGCCUGGGCAGCUCGUGGCGGUGGCCGCUCUUCUUGCGCUGUCCGUCGCCAUGACGGCGUCGGCAUCGGCGUCCCCUGCGCCUGCGAACCGGAGCCGCCGCUGCUACAAGCAUCUAUUCAGCUUUGGCGACUCUCUCAUCGACACCGGCAACUCAAUGGUCAACUCCACUCCGCCGGGCCCCGUCCUAAAGCUGCCUACGGUGAGACCUUCUUUGGCCGCCCCACCGGCCGCUGGUCCGACGGCCGCCUCGUCGUCGACUUCAUCCUGGAGAGGCUGGGAUUCCCGUACUGGCCGGCGUACCUGCAGGCGGCUGCCGGGAAGUCACCGGCGAAGGAGUUCCUGUACGGCACAAAUUUCGCUGUGACGGCCGCCACGGCAUUGAGCCAGGAUUUCUUCAUCAAGAAGAACCUCAGCAUCGACCUUCGUCCCCGGAUCCCCCUUUACUCCUUGGGCGUCCAGAUCGGCUGGUUCAAGAAAGUGCUGGCCACGCUCGGCACCACGGACCAAGAGAGGAAGGAGGUGAUGGAGAGCUCGCUGUUCCUGGUAGGGAAGAUUGGCGUCAACGACUACCACCACCCCUUCCUGCAGAACAAGACGCUCGAAUGGGUCAGACCCCUCGUGCCCCAGGUCAUCAGGUCCAUCGCUCUGUCCAUCGAGGCCUUGUUCGAGCUCGGCGCCAAGACCAUGUACGUGCCGGGCAUCUUCCCGCUAGGGUGCACCCCGCAGUACCUCGUACUCUUCCCCGGCGACGACCGCGACCCUGCCACGGGCUGCCUCCGGUGGCUCAACGACCUCAUCGUCAUCCACAACCACAUGUUAAAAGCCAAGCUCGACGAGCUCCGCCGCCGCCACCCCGGCGUGUCCAUCACCUACGUCGACUCCUACGACAACGUCCUCGGCCUCAUCAGCAAGCCGGUGGAGAACGGCUUCGGCGUGGAAACGGUGCUGGAGGCAUGUUACCCUCUCUUAAGCCUUGGGCCGGCGGCGGCUGUGCCGUGCUCGGACCCGUCGAGGUACGUGUCCUUCGACGGCCUGCACAUGACCGAGGCAGCGUACAAGAUCAUGGCCAGCGGGCUGCUCGACGGCCCGUUCGCCACGCCGCACAUCAUGUCCACAUGCAACCACACCUCUAGACCUGCGUGUGUGCACCCAAAAAAACCUGCGUGCGUGCACCUUAAAAAAAACUAA
rnacentral:rRNA from 1 species